UGGGGCCAUGAGUAACACCUUUCUUUGUGGACCCAGUGGCCACAGGGGGACGAGGCUGAGUGAUAUGCAUUGUUGGUGGUUUCUACUCUGAAGGAAAACAAUUGUCAUGAAUAUUUUCUUGUUAAAAUCAACAACUGCAGUGUGAGCGCAGAGUGACUACAGCUGUACCAGCCUGGGUGUACCUAGGGUGUUUAAAAAAAAAAAAAAAAAAAAAAAAAAAAAAAAAAAAAAAAAAUGUAAUAAAAAGAAUUAAGCAAAAGUGUAAGCUAUAUGCACAUAUGUAUCCAAAGUUAAUCUUGCUUACGUUGUCAUGAAUCACUAAGAUAAUGUAAUACUACUUUCUUGCGUGAAGGGUCUACGGUAUUCACUUAUCAAACUUCACACACACUUGUAUAUUGACUACCUAACAAAUGAUACCUUGCGAGGCGCUGAAAGCAA